UCAACUCUUUGGUGCGUUUCU
rnacentral:siRNA from 1 species